AUUGAACGCUGGCGGCAUGCCUUACACAUGCAAGUCGAACGGUAACGCGGGGCAACCUGGCGACGAGUGGCGAACGGGUGAGUAAUAUAUCGGAACGUGCCCAGUCGUGGGGGAUAACGUAGAGAAAUUUGCGCUAAUACCGCAUACGAUCUAUGGAUGAAAGCGGGGGAUCGCAAGACCUCGCGCGAUUGGAGCGGCUGAUAUCAGAUUAGGUUGUUGGUGGGGUAAAAGCCCACCAAGCCGACGAUCUGUAGCUGGUUUGAGAGAACGACCAGCCACACUGGGACUGAGACACGGCCCAGACUCCUACGGGAGGCAGCAGUGGGGAAUUUUGGACAAUGGGCGCAAGCCUGAUCCAGCAAUGCCGCGUGCAGGAAGAAGGCCUUCGGGUUGUAAACUGCUUUUGUACGGAACGAAACAGCCCUUUCUAAUAAAGAGGGCUAAUGACGGUACCGUAAGAAUAAGCACCGGCUAACUACGUGCCAGCCGCCGCUGUAA
rnacentral:rRNA from 1 species